UUUUUUUCACCGAGCGUAUCAGUCUACCCGCCCGCGUACCCACGGCAUCUGCUCUCCCAUCUCUCCCGCAAUCACCGGCGCGCUGCGGGAUCCGCACCAUCGCGGCCACGCUCCGGUUCAGACCGCCGCCUCCACGCCGCUGGCGGCCGAUUUGCGAUCGAAUCGAGCCGCCGGAGACCCCCUUCCUCCUCCGCCCCCCAUGACGAUCCGCUCUGAUCUGUGCAGAUAAUUUGGCAGAUAGAAGCACAUGAUCUACUUCUGCCGUAACCUUUGCUCUAUCCGACAACGAGGCAAAUGAUGCCGUUCCAUUUGAAGGUUGGCCAUAUGAUACAAGCUGAAUCUGAUAAUGCUAAGAGGGAUGAAUACCUCAAGAGAUUGAUAAGCCUUCCUAAUCAGAAAUAAUUGGACAGGCAAGCCAAAGCAUUGAUAUCCUGAAGAACCAAGAUGUUAUCAGAUCAGUUCUCAACAUCUUACAGCCAAAUACGCAGUCUAGGUCACAAAAGGAAGGGUCAGAAGCAGAACAAUUUUGAAGCUUACUGGGAGGAAAAUCCGAGUAUUCAAGCCAAAAAAUGGUGCGAGAAGUUGAAAGUGAUCCCCAUCUUUUCUCAUGCAUCCUGUCAAAAGGAAGGCAAUUUGAAGCAGGUCAAGGGAAUACACCACUUUACUCAAGAUGAUCUAAUGACAGAAGAUGUUUUCGUUCUGGACUGUCCCACGAGCAUAUUUGUUUGGGUUGGUCAACAGGUGGAUGUCACACGAGUAUUACAUGAAGCAUGUUAGAAUUCGACUCAGGUUAGGACAAAACCCAAUGGUUGUUAAACCAGUAUAUUAUCUUGGUAAUAACUCGUUAAUCAUAAUCCAAUGAAUUGGCUUCGAGGAGCUAUCUUAGUCAAAUUCAUUUCGAUGCAAAUAUUCUAAUAAUACCUAACUGUAAUACUCAUGAUGGAUCCAGGCUGACAUAGGCAAUGCUGCAUCAUUUUAUUCUUGUUUGAUUUCUUGGAUUA